rnacentral:misc_RNA from 1 species
AAAAUAUUUUUUCUAGAUUUUUCAUUAAAAAUCGUGCGACUUUCAUUAGCAAUACAUCUUGAUCUUAUUUGUAGAUUUUGAGUUAUGAUUUUUUAAAUUUUUAUAUAUGAUUUUGUAAAAUUCUGCACCAAGUAUAACUUUGAGAGGGCAUCUCUUGGCGAUGAUUUCAACAUUUUGGGUGAUUCUUGAGCCAUUCUUGAGCCUAAAUUGGAUUUUAGAAUGUCUUUUAAAAUUUUCAUGUUUUAUGGUUUUCCUAAUUCUGUACAAAUUGGUAAGUGAACACAUUUUAAGAUAACAUGUUAGAAUCUGAGUGCAUGUAAAUGCAACUCUUUUCAAAUUCAAAUUUAACUUUUCUAUUAUGCUUUUUAGUUGUUUCUUUUUCUAAGUGCUUUAUUAAUGUCUUAGGAG